CCAAACCAGCAGCCAUUUACACCCACAGCUCUCUGUCUGCAGGACGGAUCGGGCCCCAGGAGCCCUGGCAGAGUUCCCAGUAUCUGCCACACACACACAGCUGUGGGACGACUGCUGCUUUAAACUACAGCAGACCGACUGAAGAAUCGGAGGCAGACGCCGCGACCAGAGGAUCUGAUGAGCUCCACACUUUCCUCCCAUAAUCACACAAAGCAGCUGCAUGUGCAGAAUGAAUCUAAAGGCUUCUCUCUGGUUAAAAAAAACAACCUUUCAUAAAGUAAGACAUGAAAACGAGCAAAACAAUGACAGAGUAGUAAAAUAAAAUCACUGUUUGAAAGAGCAGCUUUGAGCUGACAGAGUUUAACAUCAACAUCCAGAAUCGGCUUGUUGGUUUAAUCAGCUAUAAAAACUAAAGUUUUAUUUUUCAUAUUAUUCAGAAAUAAUUUUCAGAAACCAGAAGGAAACUGAAUCAGUUCAGACUGAGGCAGAAAAUGCAAAGAUGGACAGAGACACAGUUAUUAUUAAAGACUGAAUUAUGGUUAUUAUGGAAACAUCUGUGAAGAUUAAAACCUGAUAUUUAAACUUAAAACAAUAAAUAAACAGAAUAAAACAGUUUCUCCAGACACAAUUUGAUCUUUUUAUUUCAGUUUAAAUUAUUGAUUUAUUCAACAAACUCCUGGUCCACUUAGACAUAAUGUUUAUGGGAAGAUCAAUUUUGAAUUCAAGGUCAGAAGAUCACAUUAUUUUUGUCCUGAUGAUCAUAAAUUAAAUAUUUACACUGAACACUGGAAUAAAUAGAAAUGAUGAGCAAACAGCAGAACUGACAUUUCUACAAAGAGCAAAAGAAACAUCUAAAGAGAAUUUGCACAUAUUUAUGAACUCUUGUGGUUUGAACCCAUUCCAAAUAAAUUAGAUUUUUGUUUUUAAAUAACAUAAUUUAACCUUAAACAUUAAAUAAGACAUACUGGCAGUUUUAGAGGAGGCAUCAAGAUGUUUGUUUUCUCUCUGGGGGUUCAGUGAUUAAUUUAUCGGUGCCAAAUUCCUUCAUUGUGGUAAGGUAAGGUAAUUUUAUUUAUAAAGCACAUUUUCAGUAACAAGGCAACACAAAGUGCUUUACAGGAAUUAAAAGGAAAUACAAACAAAAUAACAAAUCAAUCCAGUGUUGAUCUAAAGUCUGUAACUAGUUUCUCCUGUUCGGGUUGAUAAGUUUCCUCUGGUUAAUUCCUUUUGGAAGAACAGGAGUCUGAAACGUUGAGGCUACGGUCGUUUUUCUGGAUUCUAACUUUGUUCUGGGAUGCUAAAGAAGUAAAAAUAUUCUCUGGACCUACUCAGUGUGCUCUAAAUUUGUAAAAGUAAUGAAUAUCCUUCAGUCUCUAAGUGAUAAUAAAAACUAAGUGUUUUUGGGAGAUCGGUGAUUUUUACAAGUGAAGCCGAUACACUGAUGUUAUCGACCUCAGCAAAGGCCUAAAAAUCAACCUCUGUCCUUUGUGAGCAGGUCUGACUGACGGACCGGCCACCAGGCCACGUCUGCAGGUUGACAGGUAAUAGGGACCCCACUGUUCUCUGGGCCUCCCUUCUGAAGCUGCUACCCCCAUGACCCGACCUUGGAUAAGCGGAAGAAAAUGGAUGGAUGGAAAACGGUACCAGCCAGAAUCUGAAUUAGCAGGUCAGGCUUUUGAAAAGAUUGAUAAUUGGCGAUUAGCCCUGAGGCUCCUGAGGCCCCUGAGGCUCCUGAAGUCCCUGAAGUCCCUGAAGUCCCUGAGGCCCCUGAGGCUCCUGAGGCUCCUGAAGUCCCUGAGGCCCCUGAGGCCCCUGAGGCCCCUGAGGCCCCUGAGGCCCCUGAGGCUCCUGAGGCCCCUGAAGUCCCUCUGCUCACUGAGGAUAAAGGAGCACCAUGAUCAGGAGCAACAGAAAACUCCCAGACUCUGAACAA